rnacentral:tRNA from 3 species
GGGCGCGUGGUGAAAUGGUAUCACUGGGGUCUCCAAAACCUCCGUCGUCGGUCCGAUUCCGACCGCGCCUGCCA